rnacentral:lncRNA from 1 species
CCCGGGAGGCCGAGGUUGCAGUGAGCCGAGAUUGCGCCACUGCACUCCAGCCUGGGCAAAAUUUAUAUGAACAAUUUAGUUGAGUUAGAGAGCAGAUGUUCGUACAAAGCACUUAGGAACAGUUCGAUUUCAAUUUUGGUGUUUAUUUUAAGUAAGCUGUAUAUGUUACUAUUUGAGAACCUGCUAGGGUUUUAGAAUACACAUUUCUUUAGUUUUUAGCUAUAAUUCAAUAAAUUAGUACUUUUGGCUAAGUGUGAGGAUUGGCUUAGUAGGUGGCAGAACAGCAACACUAGAAGAGAGAUGAUUACUGUCACAUGGAGAGGGGCUUCCUGAGGAGCUGAGAUUCAGCCU